rnacentral:rRNA from 1 species
AUACGUAGGGAGCGAGCGUUGUCCGGAAUUACUGGGCGUAAAGGGCGCGUAGGCGGCGCUUCAAGUCGUCUGUCAAAUGGAAGGGCUUAACCCUUUUUCGCAGACGAAACUGGAGAGCUUGAGAAGCAGAGAGGCAAACAGAAUUCCUGGUGUAGCGGUGAAAUGCAUAGAUAUUACACAGAACGCCGAUUGUGAAGACACCUCACGAAGCGGUAACUGACGCUGAGGCACGAAAGCGUGGGGAUCGAACAGGAUUAGAUACCCUGGUAGUCCACGCAGUAAACGAUGAUGACUAACCGUCGGCGAUAGACCGCCGGUGGCCAAGCGAAAGCGAUAAGUCAUCCACCUGGGGAGUACGACCGCAAGGUUGAAACUCAAAGGAAUUGGCGGGG